rnacentral:rRNA from 1 species
AUUGAACGCUGGCGGCAGGCCUAACACAUGCAAGUCGAACGAGUGGCGGACGGGUGAGUAAUGUCUGGGAAACUGCCUGAUGGAGGGGGAUAACUACUGGAAACGGUAGCUAAUACCGCAUACCAUCGGAUGUGCCCUGGUGGGAUUAGCUAGUGGGUGGGGUAACGGCUCACCUAGGCGACGAUCCCUAGCUGGUCGGAGAGGAUGACAGGCCACCCUGGAACUGAGAGACGGUCCAGACUCCUACGGGAGGCAGCGGUGGGGAAUAUUGCACAAUGGGCGCAAGCCUGAUGCAGCCAUGCCGCGUGGAUGAGGAAGGCCUUCGGGUUGUAAAGUACUUUCAGCGGGGAGGCGGUACCCGCAGAAGAAGCACCGGCUAACUCCGUGCCAGCAGCCGCGGUAAUAC